UAACUUUUCAUAGCCAACUCAAAGAACAUGUAAAUCAACACCGCUUCGUCUUCUUUUUUUCAUUUCUUCAUCAGCGAUGUUUUGUUUCAUCUUACCUCUGCUUCAUUUUCUUCUUCCUGUACAUAUUCAAUCUAAGCAAAACAUCAAAUCUGACAGUAGAAUGUCCUCAAUAAUUCCAAAAAUCCCCUCCAGCUCCCUUGCUCGUUCGCUCUGACCAGGUCUUUCACCAAUUUAGGGCCGAAGGAUUUGGUGGAGAAAACGCCAGCUGUGGUAAAGAAAGGGGUUACCAAGGAGAAGGCAGAAAAGAUUGUGGCGAAGCUCAAGGAAAUUGACGCCACUGUGGUUUUGGAAUGACACCAUAAUUAAAUGGUGGAACAACGCCGAAGCAUAGAAAUUUAUCCGGCUUUGCGAGAGUGUUUCCUGUGCGCGGUCAAGUACUCGACGAAUCCAUUGUUGGAGAUGAGAGAAUCCAUAGUUUAGAUGAUAGAGAUCUUGGGCAUUCGAGAUUGGGAGGAGAUGGAGGACUUAAUUUAUUGUUAUAUUCUUCUUAAUUCUACUGGGUUCAUGAUUUUAUUGAGGAGAUGGAGGUCAAGUCCAAAGUAUUCUGCUAGAAAUUGAGCCUCUCUUUGCUUGAGAAAAUAAUUCAAGAACAAAAUUGAUACCUAUAAUAAAGAACUACCCAAGAACAAAAUUCAGCCUCUCCUUCCUGGUUAUCUGCAUCUGCGUCUCUGACGUGUUUAAUUAAAUUUUUUGAGUUGGGGGCUAUGUCAAGAGAUUGUAUGCAUUAUUCUUCUUUCAAAUUAAUUUUUAUAAACUUUGAUUUAUUACAAAUUUUAAAUAA